GGCCAGACUCCUACGGGAGGCAGCAGUGGGGAAUAUUGGGCAAUGGGCGCAAGCCUGACCCAGCAACGCCGCGUGAAGGAAGAAGGCUUUCGGGUUGUAAACUUCUUUUCUCAGGGACGAAGCAAGUGACGGUACCUGAGGAAUAAGCCACGGCUAACUACGUGCCAGCAGCCGCGGUAAUACGUAGGUGGCAAGCGUUAUCCGGAUUUACUGGGUGUAAAGGGCGUGUAGGCGGAUGUGCAAGUCAGUCGUGAGAUACCGGGGCUCAACCCCGGGGCUGCGAUUGAAACUGCACACCUUGAGCAUCGGAGAGGAAAGCGGAAUUCCUAGUGUAGCGGUGAAAUGCGUAGAUAUUAGGAGGAACACCAGUGGCGAAGGCGGCUUUCUGGACGACAACUGACGCUGAGGCGCGAAAGUGUGGGGAGCAAACAGGAUUAGAUACCCCAGUAAC
rnacentral:rRNA from 1 species